UGAAGCUUUAGAAAAUAGAGAGGGAGAAAGAUAGUUCAAAUAGAAGGGUGUUUUAUUUGGGUUCCAUCACAUAGUUAUUGUGGUGAAGUAAUUUGAGUUUGUACUCAAAUUAAGAUAUCUUUGUAUUCUCUCAUAUUAUUCUAGUGAAUUUUUUGGAGAUCGUCCCGUGAUUUUUACCUCUUAGUUUUAGAGGGUUUUCCACGUAAAAAUUCUUGGUGUCUCGUGGUUUGAUAAUCUUGGUGUCUCUUUGUUUGUUUUUCUUUCUUAUUAUUCAUUUAAUUUAUCAACAACAACAGUCUUUGGGUGGUGUUUUUCCCAACAACUGGUAUCAAAGCUAAGGUUAUUUGCUUGGUUGUUUUUGAUAAAUUUUAUGGAGGAAUCAGUCGGAGCCAU
rnacentral:lncRNA from 1 species